rnacentral:lncRNA from 1 species
GAGGGGCGCAGCAGUGGAGAGGCAGGCUUUCCUUGCUUCGAAUUGUAACAGCCCCUUUUUUGUUAUAAUAAUAAGCUGGUAAUACUAGAACUCGGCCUCUGUGUGUGUCAUUCAGUGAAUUGAGAGGGGCGGUAGACGCAGGCUAGACAAAACAAAGCUACCUUUUUACGCAAUAGGUAAGUAACAUGUGAAAUCGGGGGCCCCAGAAGAUGCAGUGGUUGCCGGAUUUACUUAUAAGCUAAACAGUCUAUAGCUUAGAGCCCCACUCUCUUGGGGCCCCCAAAAAAAUUUAAAGGGGAAAAAAUGGGUGUACAUUUCCAAAAUAUAAGAUAAAAAAGAAAUAAAACCUACAUACAGCAACAGUGUUCUGUGUUGUGUAGGCUACUUUGAUGUAAGUAAUGGGCCCCGCCUGCUGGCCUGCUCCCUAAAAUAUCACUGGUUUGCUCAUUUCUAUAUAUAGGGUGCCUACAUUCUCCACGUGCAAAUGGUUUUAGAUACCUAUUAGGUCCAUAAAUUACCAUAUAGCAUAGUUGUUGUUGUUGUCGUUUAGUUGUGCCCGACUCUUCGUGACUCCAUGGACCAGAGCACGCCAGGCACUUCUGUCUUCCACUGCCUCCCGCAGUUUGGUCAAACUCAUGCUGGUAGUUUCAAGAACACUGUCCAACCAUCUCAUCCUCUGUCGUCCUCUUCUCCUUGUGCCCUCAGUCUUCCCCAACAUCAGGGUCUUUUCCAGGGAGUCUUCUCUUCUCAUGAGGUGGCCAAAGUAUUGGAGCCUCAGCUUCAUGAUCUCAGGUGCUCACUGGAAGGACAGAUUGCGAAGCUGAGGCUCCAAUACUUUGGCCACCUCAUGAGAAGAGAGGAGAAGAUGGUUGGACAGUGUUGUCCAAGCUACCAGCAUGAGUUUGACCAAACUGCAGGAGGCAGUGGAAGACAGGAGUGCCUGGCGUGCUCUGGUCCAUGGGGUCACGAAGAGUCAGACACGACUAAACGACUAAACAACAACCAUCCAGGGAUCCUGUACCUUUAAAGUCCUGCAAUAAAUGGCACAAAGAAAGGGCUCAAGUUCAAGGCAGUAAUUGUGAGCCAUAUUCAGUGGUGCAGCAGAUACCCAUGCACAUGUUGGCGAUGACUUUCCUGUCCCUUCCAGCCCCUCUCCUGUGUGCUGUCAAAUUCAGCUUUAGAGAGUUGGGGGACUCUCUGGAACAAAUUUGGGGUGUGACUGAGGAGAGGAAACAGAAGUCUGGCUGUGCUGCUAGAGAGUUGGGUACAGCUCUGUGUAUUUGAAGCCCCAAGUCCUUGUUAUUUAUUCCUAGCCCCGCAUUCCUCCCCCUUCAUAUUGCAGAGGCUGGUGACUGAGCUUUUCAAAACAACACUUCCUGUCAUAUGCCAAUAAUGUUCCAGAUGAUUUUGUGGACCCUACAGAAGCUCAGUAUGGUAUAAAAUAAAUGGCACAAUUUGUUCUUUGAAAAAUCAAAACAAAACUCUAAACUUCCAUUUAGUUUUCACAGAGGCAUCGCUUCCUGUAAUUGCUGGUUACUCAGAUACUGGAGCCAGCAAACUGUGAAACGAGUGAAUGGAACAAGCAAGGAGAGAAAGGAGGCUGAUUGUGGAACUCUGAAAACAACAGCACACCAAACAUCUGUUUAGGCUGCACAGAAGUCCCGUGGCAUUCAUCAGUGAGAAUUAAAGAAAUUCAUCCAAGUGCACAUACAUCACUACUUUGUCAUGGUGAGGGUUUCCAAUGCAGAAAUAACAAUAAAAAAUAAUGAUCCUAUAAAUGUAGGAAAUGCUUUAAAAAUGUUGAAACUCAAGAGGACUAGGAAUUGAAGGAGGAGGAGAAGAAUAUAAAUCUGCAGUUCCUGAUAGAUGAUGGAAGCUCUGAAAUCUGAUGAAGAUUGUUGGGAAUCUUAGCUUUAAAAAACAAGGCCAACACAAUAUUGUUAUGGGUUUGGGGGUAGAUUUAAAUGACUCCCAGGCUCCCUUCUCAUCCAGUGAUUCUUGUGUGUUUAAGACAAGCCUGCUAAAAUGGCCAAACUGGUCACAUGGUUAGCCUGAUAAAUUCUCUUCUGUUAUGAAGAUUAUUGAUGGACUGCAUCCAUGGCCAGGAAAUGUCCGAAUGGGAUGCCCCUUUGCUCUCCAUCCUAAGGAAUGUGCUAAUUUGGUCUAUAGAAGAUAUGAACAAAGGAGGCGGUUGGUAGUUAACACUUGAGAUGGUUUGAGAACAAGGUCAGAACUGUAGGAUUUUCUGGGAGGUCUGAAGGAGGCGCUGCGUGCUGCCUCUGAAACAUAAUGGGGUAGCAGUAUUUGUUGGAAUGGGUUCAAACUGUGAAACCUCCAGGU